GCGCACCAGUCGAGAAUUUUUCUCAAUGGGGGCAACCCUGAAGGAGCGACGCCGCGUGGAGGAUGAAGGCUUUCGGGUUGUAAACUCCUGUCAUUUGAGAACAAGUGGUGAGCAAAUAACUACUGCUCAUUUGAUAGUAUCAGAAGAGGAAGGGACGGCUAACUCUGUGCCAGCAGCCGCGGUAAUACAGAGGUCCCAAGCGUUGUUCGGAUUCAUUGGGCGUAAAGGGUGCGUAGGUGGCGCCGUCAGUGGGGUGUGAAAUUUCGGAGCUUAACUCCGAAACUGCAUUCCAUACUGCGGUGCUUGAGGACUGGAGAGGAGACUGGAAUUCAUGGUGUAGCAGUGAAAUGCGUAGAGAUCAUGAGGAAGACCAGUGGCGAAGGCGGGUCUCUGGACAGUUCCUGACACUGAGGCACGAAGGCUAGGGGGAGCGAACGGGAUUAGAUACCCCCGUAGU
rnacentral:rRNA from 1 species